AUUUUUGUAUUUUAAAACAAAAAUCAAAUAACUUUAAUAUCCAUUUUUUGAAAGGAAAAUCGAAUGACCAAAAGAUACACUGACCCUCCUCCCUUGCCGGAUUGUGCUCCGGCUGUAGGAAAAGGAGCGCACUCUGUGAGUGUUGAAACGACAUGUUUGAGUCAUGUUUCGGUGCAGUGAUUGGUCCAGCUCAGAGUCUGAGGGAACCAAUGAGCAGCGUGACUCACCUGCACAGGUGGAAACUAUAAUCACCCUGAUUGAGGAACCACGAGAGAAGCACGAGGGAGGAAAACACAAGAGGCACCAAACGGAUGACAUCUGAAAGUGAAACAAGUUCAGCUGCUACUUGAGCAAACUCAACAAAACAGAGCAUUUCACCCCAAACUUUUUUAUCUCUGUAUUCUUUUCUUUACAUAUUUAUUCCCCGUCAUGAUGCACACGCCUGUUGAUGUGCUGAAGAAACUGUAGAAUAAUAAAUUGUGAUGUGCACAUAAGUACGGAGGAGUUCUGUGGUUCUUUAACAUCAGUGAUGACGGUGGCACAAAAUGUAGCAGAUCUGCCAUGCGUAAUUUUUCUUUUUUUUUGGAUGGAAGGGAUGCCUGCUGCCAUCAGACUUCACUAUAAAGUGUAUACUCACUGAAUUCUGUCUGGUGGUUUUUCAUCAUUUCUAUUUGAUUAAAUGGAUUCCUGAGAUGGCACAUUCUGUUACAGCUACACAUGGACAGAAAUUAAUUUGCAAACAUUAAUUAGUUUAAGUGUAAUUAAUUGUUGCGGCAGCAACACUAACUUUAUUCUACAACAUGGUUUUUCAACCAGCGGUUAUGACAUCAUUGCCAACUAUAGAAUAAAGCUCUGUCUGUCAUGACAGUUAGUAGCCUACUACUGAAGCCCUUUCCUUGUCUCUCUUUACAGCCAUCUGAUGGCAGCAGGUAUCCGAUCCAACUAAAGAAUAAAUCACGCCGGGCAAAUCUUAAACAUUUUGUGCCACCAGAAGCAGACUGUUGUUAAAUAACCACAGAACCCCUCCGUACUUAUGUGCACAUCAAAAGUGUUGUUUUGAUUAAAGCUGCAGUAGGCAGACAGUUUUAAGCAUCAUUGUGCAAAAAUUCCAUAAUAACCUUUCAGCAUAUUGUAAUUCAAGUGUUCUGACAGAAAACUAGACUUAUGCACCUCCACCUAA